rnacentral:rRNA from 1 species
AGUUGGUGGAGUGAUUUGUCUGGUUAAUUCCGAUAACGAACGAGACCUUAACCUGCUAAAUAGUAGUCCGAUGAUUUCUUCAUCGUGUCGACUUCUUAGAGGGACUAUCGGUGUCUAACCGAUGGAAGUUUGAGGCAAUAACAGGU